rnacentral:rRNA from 1 species
UACGUAGGGGGCAAGCGUUGUCCGGAUUCAUUGGGCGUAAAGAGCGUGUAGGCGGCCAGGUAGGUCGGUUGUGAAAACUGGAGGCUCAACCUUCAGAGGUCGAUCGAAACCAUCUGGCUAGAGUCCGGGAGAGGAGAGUGGAAUUCCUGGUGUAGCGGUGAAAUGCGUAGAGAUCGGGAGGAACACCAGAGGCGAAGGCGGCGACCUGGACAGUGACUGACACUCAACUGCGAAAGCGUGGGGAGCAAACAGG